AAGCAAGUGCCAAAAAGAUUUUCAAGAUCAUAAGAAGUAUCAUUAUCUUCCCAAUCAUAAUCAUCACAACAAGCAAUAGGCAUAACGAGAUCAUCAUCAAGUGCAUCAUCUUCCACAAUUAUUUUUGAUUCAUUUUCAUGGGGCACAACAAUAAUAGGAGCAACAUUAUUUGGGAGAGAUAUCUUUUUACCUCUCUUCCAUUUUCUUUUCUUCUUCUUCACCACAUCAUGUGUGGGUUCAAUCCUCUUUUUGGAGCUCCUUAGAAGUGUGAUAAGCUUUGAAUGGAAGCCCCGGUAAACGGCAGCAGUAACUCUAACUUUCCUAAGGUAGCGAAAUUCCUUGUCGCAUAAGUAGCGACCUGGACGAAUGGUGUAACGACUGCCCCGCUGUCUCCGACAUGGACCCGGUGAAAAUAGAAGGCUCCUCCAC
rnacentral:ncRNA from 1 species